rnacentral:rRNA from 1 species
CCUACGGGAGGCAGCAGUGGGGAAUAUUGCACAAUGGGGGAAACUCUGAUGCAGCGACGCCGCGUGAGCGAUGAAGUAUUUCGGUAUGUAAAGCUCUAUCAGCAGGGAAGAAAAUGAGUGUACCUGACUAAUAAGCACUGGCUCACUACGUGACAGCAGCCGCGGUGCUACGUAGGGGGCAAGCGGUAUCCGGAUUCACUGGGUGGAAAGGGUGUGCAGAUGGCGUUGCUAGCCAGCAGUGAAAGGCCGGGGGUGAAACCAGGGAUUGCAUUUGGAACUGUAUAGCUGGAGUGUCGGAGGGGCAGGCGGAAUUCCUGGUGUAGCGGUGAAAUGCGUAGAUAUUAGGAGGAACACCGGUGGCGAAGGCGGCCUGCUGGACGGUGACUGACGUUGAGGCUCGAAAGCGUGGGGAGCAAACAGGAUUAGAUACCCUAGUAGUC